GAUGAACGCUGGCGGCAGGCCUAACACAUGCAAGUCGAGCGAGAAGCCCUUUCGGGGGCCGGAACCGGCGCACGGGUGCGUGACGCGUAUGCAACCUACCUUUCACAGGGGGAUAGCCCGAAGAAAUUUGGAUUAAUACCCCAUAAUAUUAUUGGAUGGCAUCAUUUGAUAAUUAAAACUGCGGUGGUGCACGCUGGGCCUGCGUCCUAUUAGCUAGUUGGGGUGGUAACGGCACCCCAAGGCUACGAUAGGUAGGGUUCCUGAGAGGGAGAUCCCCCACACGGGUACUGAGACAGGGACCAGACUCCUACGGGAGGCAGCAGUGAGGAAGAUUGGUCAAUGGUCGGAAGACUGAACCAGCCAUGCCGCGUGCAGGAAGAAUGCCUUAUGGGUUGUAAACUGCUUUUAGAUGGGAAGAAUAAGGCGUACGUGUACGUUGAUGACGGUACCAGAUGAAUAAGCAUCGGCUAACUCCGUG
rnacentral:rRNA from 1 species